GGGGCUGACAUGGCUUCGACGGGAGCGGGAUGCUUUAGGUUGCAUGCCGGACUGGGCACCUCCGUUACACGGCCCACAUUGCUUAAACGCAAACAACACAAACUAUCGUCCUGCUUACGCUGUAGCGUAAGUUUUAACUUAACUUAGGACUGCUUCUCCUUCCGAUUCUAUCUACGAAGAUUUGAGAAGUAUAACCUUCAGAUAGAUAUAUUCGCGGGAUGUCUCGUCCGCGGACGAAUUUAGAGGCUGGGGCGGUGUAGCUUUGCACGUUGUGUGAAGCCGUCCGAGACUCAAACAACGUCUCUAAGCAUGUAGACGCCUUUGGUGGCCCGUUUUCGGACUGCGGUUCGAUUCCGCACAGCUCCACCA
rnacentral:tmRNA from 1 species